CGAACAAUUAUUAAACCUAAACCUACACCAAGCUUCACCUAUAAAAGCCGUACGAUCGUACUAGGGUUUAGGGUUAUAGGUAUUAAAACAGUGAUUUCUCCUUCCACUGCCCUCGCCGCCGCCGUAACGCUGCCGAGGCGGCGGCAGCGGCCGCAUCACUGUUUCAUAUAUAGCCAUUUUUACACUAAAAUUACUGAUUUUGAGUAUUAAAUGGCCUUUUUUGCAAACAAGACGAGAUUUUUUUGGGGAUUCCCAGAUGGGGUUUACUUGCCUGUUACUUCCAUACUCCAAAACUAGAUUGAGAAAGAUUUUAUAGUGGAGUGGAAUCCGAAAUGUAGCCAUCGACUAGAAACUCCUGCAAGUGCCCAAACAAAUAUGAUGUUGCUGAAUGUAAUCAAGCUUUCUUUGAGAAGCUAAAGGAUCUCUUCACUUACUUAUUUGAAGGAGUUGGUUCUAUGCCUCUCCCUAAAAUGUUUACCAGAUUGUGCAGGCAGUGAGACAUGUUUCAGCUAUUUGUAUGACCAGAGCAUGUGAAAGAGAGGUUGCUUUCUUAUCUCACAAUGAUCAGUCUUCGGAAGUUGAUGAUAUAGUGGUUCGGAAGCCGAGGCGAAAAAAGCUUAUGAAGCAACCUAGCUGAAUGUUCAAAUCAAUUGACCACUCGGAUUUGGUAACGCAACUAUAGCCAAGAGAAUGUUCAUUAAAAGUGCAUGCUUUCUACUUUAUUGUUUGAGCAUUGUGUUGGUUUCUCAAGCACAUGGGAAGAGGAAUUUGUCGAUUGAAAAUUUCGAUUUAGCGAACAAAAAGAAGUUGGUCAAUGGUCUCAGGUCAUUGAGUUAAAUAGCUUCUCUUUUACAGACAAAUUUCUUUUCCAUGUACUUGUGAAAUGCUGCACCAUGCUCAAACGCCAUGAGUGAAAUGUUUGCAUUUGUAAUUAUAUAUAUUUUCUUGGCUAGAGUUGUGUUGCCAAGUUGAGUGUUCAAUUGAUUUGAACCUUCAGGUGAGUUGCUUCAUGAUCUUCUUAUGCCUUAGCUUCAUAACUUACCACUAUAUCAUCAAUUCUCGGAGUGUGUGGCUACCUAAAUGCUCUUGCUAUAGUAUGCAGACGUUGAUGUGAUUGGUCGUUAGUGUUGAAUUAGGUGCACUUGGAAAUGAACAAGAGCAGGAAAACACUUUGUUCUGUAAUCCUGCAGCAGUCUCAUUUUUUGUCUAGCAGCUGCCAAGAAGGAAAACUUGCUUUUACAUCUAUAUGUAUACUUCAGUUUUGUACUCAAUUUAUGUUUGGUUUAGUUUAUUUUUUGUUGGCCUAAUUGUAUACCGUUGGAGUUUGUGUAUAAAUAUCUGAUGUUUGGGUACUA